GAUGAACGCUGGCGGCGUGCCUAAUACUUGCAAGUCGAGCGAACAGACGAGGAGCUUGCUCCUCUGACGUUAGCGGCGGACGGGUGAGUAACACGUGGAUAACCUACCUAUAAGACUGGGAUAACUUCGGGAAACCGGAGCUAAUACCGGAUAAUAUAUUGAACCGCAUGGUUCAAUAGUGAAAGACGGUUUUGCUGUCACUUAUAGAUGGAUCCGCGCCGCCUUAGCUAGUUGGUAAGGUAACGGCUUACCAAGGCAACGAUGCGUACCCGACCUGAGAGGGUGAUCGGCCACCCUGGAACUGAGAGACGGUCCAGACUCCUACGGGAGGGAGCAGUAGGGAAUCUUCCGCAAGGGGCGAAAGCCUGACGGAGCAACGCCGCGUGAGUGAUGAAGGUCUUAGGAUCGUAAAACUCUGUUAUUAGGGAAGAACAAAUGUGUAAGUAACUAUGCACGUCUUGACGGUACCUAAUCAGAAAGCCACGGCUAACUACGUG
rnacentral:rRNA from 1 species